rnacentral:rRNA from 1 species
AGGACGAACGCUGGCGGCGUGCCUAACACAUGCAAGUGGAGCGGACGAACCGGGCUUCGGCCCGGGGCAAAGCCGCGAACGGGUGAGUAACACGUGGGUAACCUGCCCUGAUGAUUGGGACAACCCGAGGAAACUCGGGCUAAUACCAAAUGUGCCCUACCGACUCUAAGGUCGAUGGGGAAAGGAAGCUUCGGCCUCCGCAUCGGGAUGGGCCCACGGCCCAUUAGCUUGUUGGUGAGGUAAUGGCUCACCAAGGCUACGAUGGGUA